GCGGGUGUAGCUCAGCAGGUUAGAGCGCCAGAUUGUGACUCUGGAGGCCGCCGGUUCAAAUCCGGUCACUCGCCCCA
rnacentral:tRNA from 2 species